rnacentral:lncRNA from 1 species
GAGUGUCGAACGCCGCUACUCCAGAACCACCAUUACCAGCUAAAGACUGAGGAAUGUUCUUGCUAGAGCGUGGCUGGCUGGCAGAUUGCGCCUCCACCGCUUUUUGAUAUAGGCUCGUUGACCGAGGUACUACAUAAUGCGAUCCAGGCUCCAAAUAGCGCUUCCUUCUUUUUGAUCGAGGCUGUGGUUGAGCUGAAUCCAUCUUUCGUCGAACUGAACGCGAACUUCAAAUAGCGCGCUUCAUGGAGUCCACGCAAAGUGAGGCCGCGAUGAACAAUCUAAGCGGGUCCAAGAUGCAUAGACCGAGGCUUCACAUUCACACCCUGCUUGCCGUGCCUUGAAGAUGGUGCGCGGCGCGGAAACGACGAUACACUAUGAUGUAACAUCUGGCCAUUAUGAUGAUGAUGCGACCAACGGACCAACGCGAGCGACACCAGGCUAGCCACCCUAACCAGGCGACACUAUGUUCAUUGUUGUUUAUUUUUUAUUUACGGUGAGUUAAAAAAAAAUUACCGUGUAAACUUGUAAAAACAUGAAGCAAAUUUUUUUAGUUUCUUAAAAACGAAAUUGCAUUUUGUUGAGACCCACAAAUGGUACCGCCAUCGUCAUGAACAGCGCGUUGGUACGUACGUACGUUUUUGCUGUGUGUGUUGCUGAGUGGUAGCGCGCGUCCAUGUGCAUUUCUUCGGCGGCAUGUUCGCGUACGUUCGUUUCCGCGACGACAACGAAAAGCGAAUCAUCCCAGUGGCUGCAUGUAAACACCUCAAGCCGAACGAUACGAGCGAUUUUAAUCCUCGCAAAUGGUACAAAGUCUUCUGGAAAGAUGAAACACACUGCGACCACUACCACGCUCAAGUGAUUAGGCUUUACGCUACCGAGGACGAUGCAAGGAAGGCUACCGAAAAACGAACUUCCAGUCCGCAAAGACCUGGCAGCGACUCCUCCUAUAGCUGCAGUUCAAAUGAAGUGGAUGGAUCGUUUGAAGAAGAAACGCAGCGUCAAGCUGCUGUU